GACAAUCAAACCAACAUGUUUUCCUUCCAUGCUUCAGCCAAAAAGCUUCAGUGUCACCCAUACAAUAAGGACAUGCUAAACGACCAUGAGUUGUCCAUCCAGAUAACAUAGCAUAAGCGGGAAAAUCACUGAUCGUCCAUAAAAGCAUAGCUCGUAAUGUAAAGUUCUGCUUCAGCGAUACAUCAUAUGACUCAACUCCAUCAGUCCAUAAACCAUUAAGCUCCUCUAUGAGAGGCUGUAAAAACACAUCUAAACUCCUUUUUGGAUGGUUUGGACCAGGG
rnacentral:lncRNA from 1 species